UCGGACGUGGUGUACGGCACACCGCGAGGCUCCUUAAGGCUCUCUGCAAUGAAUUUACCUCGCAGUACCGGGUUCGACUCCCGGCGUCCGAA